rnacentral:rRNA from 1 species
GUAUUGAAGGUGAUGCCUGCCCGGUGACAUAGUUCAACGGCCGCGGUAUCCUGACCGUGCAAAGGUAGCGCAAUCAAUUGUCCCAUAAAUCGGGACCAGUAUGAAUGGCUAAACGAGGUCUUAACUGUCUCUUACAGGCAAUCGGUGAAAUUGAUCUCCCUGUACAAAAGCAGGGAUAAAACCAUAAGACGAGAAGACCCUGUGGAACUUUAAAAACAGCAGCCACCCCAAAUAAAACAUCCACCCAACUCGGGCUCACCAACCUAACGGGCAACUGGCUUGCAUUUUUUCGGUUGGGGCGACCUUGGAGCAAAACAGAACCUCCAAAUUUUGGACCAUAAAUCUAGACCAAGAGCAACCACUCUACGUGCUAACAGCAACCAGAUCCAAUAUAAUUGAUCAAUGGACCAAGCUACCCCAGGGAUAACAGCGCAAUCUCCUUCAAGAGUCCAUAUCGACAAGGAGGUUUACGACCUCGAUGUUGGAUCAGGACAUCCUAGUGGUGCAGCAGCUACUAAGGGUUC